AUUGAACGCUGGCGGCAUGCCUUACACAUGCAAGUCGAACGGUAACAGGUCUUCGGAUGCUGACGAGUGGCGAACGGGUGAGUAAUACAUCGGAACGUGCCUAGUAGUGGGGGAUAACUACUCGAAAGAGUGGCUAAUACCGCAUGAGAUCUACGGAUGAAAGCAGGGGAUCGCAAGACCUUGUGCUACUAGAGCGGCCGAUGGCAGAUUAGGUAGUUGGUGGGAUAAAAGCUUACCAAGCCGACGAUCUGUAGCUGGUCUGAGAGGACGAUCAGCCACACUGGGACUGAGACACGGCCCAGACUCCUACGGGAGGCAGCAGUGGGGAAUUUUGGACAAUGGGCGAAAGCCUGAUCCAGCAAUGCCGCGUGCAGGAUGAAGGCCUUCGGGUUGUAAACUGCUUUUGAACGGAACGAAAAGCCCUGGGUUAAUACCCUGGGGUCAUGACGGUACCGUAAGAAUAAGCACCGGCUAACUACGUGCCAGCCGCCGCUGUAA
rnacentral:rRNA from 1 species